rnacentral:SRP_RNA from 10 species
GCUGGGCAUGGUAAUGCCUGCCUAUAGUCCCGGCUACUUGGGAGGCUGAGGUGGGAGGAUCACUUGAGUCCAGGAGUUCUGGGCUGUAGUGCACUGGGCCAAUCAGGUGUCCACACUAAGUUCAGCAUCAAUAUGGUGACCUCCAAGGAACAGGGGACCACCAGGUUGCCUAAGGAGGGGUAACAGGCCCAGGUCAGAAACGGAGCAGGUCAAAACUCCUGUGCUGGCCGGGCGCGGUUGUUCACACCUGUAAUCCUAGCACUUUGGGAGGCCGAGGUGGGCGGAUCACCAGA